rnacentral:tRNA from 1 species
GGGCCUAUAGCUCAGUUGGUCAGAGCCGGCGGCUCAUAACCGCCUGGUCCCAGGUUCGAAUCCUGGUGGGCCCACCA